UGGAGUGGAGCUCAGUGGGUAGAGUGCUUGCCUAACAUGCAUGAGGCCUGGGCUAGAUCCCCAGCACUGCAU
rnacentral:tRNA from 1 species